GCAGAAUUGUAUUAUUACAGCUACUAACAACACGAGUUGCAAGAUGCCAUGCCAAUGCUGGGUGUGAACCUGGGAAGCUCCCAAUGAAGGCUUGGUCUUGAGUGAUCACAUGAUUGUUCUGCUGAAGCACUCUCUGUGCAUAUAAAGGUGCUGACUGAUUUACUGAGUACUUCUGGCAUUUUCUAUUUAAAAUCUUCCUGCACAUUUCACACAAAACCUCAGCA